AUCUGUACGCUCAACGUACAGGCUGCCGGGAAUACUGCAGAGCUAGGGAGUGGGAGAGGUAGACGGUACUCGGUAGGAAGGGGUAAAAUCCUUUGAUCUAUUGAUGACCACCUGUGGCGAAGGCGGUCUACUAGAACACGUCCGACGGUGAGGGAUGAAAGCUGGGGGAGCAAACCGGAUUAGAUACCCGGGUAGUCCCAGCUGUAAACUAUGCAAACUCAGUGAUGCAUUGGCUUGUGGCCAAUGCAGUGCUGCAGGGAAGCCGUUAAGUUUGCCGCCUGGGAAGUACGUACGCAAGUAUGAAACUUAAAGGAAUUGGCGGGGGAGCACCACAAGGGGUGAAGCCUGCGGUUCAAUUGGAGUCAACGCCAGAAAUCUUACCCGGAGAGACAGCAGAAUGAAGGUCAAGCUGAAGACUUUACCAGACAAGCUGAGAGGUGGUGCAUGGCCGUCGCCAGCUCGUGCCGUGAGAUGUCCUGUUAAGUCAGGUAACGAGCGAGAUCCCUGCCUCUAGUUGCCACCAUUACUCUCAGGAGUAGUGGGGCGAAUUAGCGGGACCGCCGCAGUUAAUGCGGAGGAAGGAAGGGGCCACGGCAGGUCAGUAUGCCCCGAAACUCUGGGGCCACACGCGGGCUGCAAUGGUAACGACAAUUGGUUUCGAAUCCGAAAGGAUGAGGUAAUCCUCAAACGUUACCACAGUUAUGACUG
rnacentral:rRNA from 1 species